rnacentral:rRNA from 1 species
CGGAGGAAAAGAAACCAACCGGGAUUGCCUUAGUAACGGCGAGUGAAGCGGCAAAAGCUCAAAUUUGAAAUCUGGUACCUUCGGUGCCCGAGUUGUAAUUUGGAGAGGGCAACUUUGGGGCCGUUCCUUGUCUAUGUUCCUUGGAACAGGACGUCAUAGAGGGUGAGAAUCCCGUGUGGCGAGGAGUGCGGUUCUUUGUAAAGUGCCUUCGAAGAGUCGAGUUGUUUGGGAAUGCAGCUCUAAGUGGGUGGUAAAUUCCAUCUAAAGCUAAAUAUUGGCGAGAGACCGAUAGCGAACAAGUACAGUGAUGGAAAGAUGAAAAGAACUUUGAAAAGAGAGUGAAAAAGUACGUGAAAUUGUUGAAAGGGAAGGGCAUUUGAUCAGACAUGGUGUUUUGUGCCCUCUGCUCCUUGUGGGUAGGGGAAUCUCGCAUUUCACUGGGCCAGCAUCAGUUUUGGUGGCAGGAUAAAUCCAUAGGAAUGUAGCUUGCCUCGGUAAGUAUUAUAGCCUGUGGGAAUACUGCCAGCUGGGACUGAGGACUGC